CCCUUAGAUGUUCUGGGCCGCACGCGUGCUACACUGACGAAUGCAACGAGCUUAUAACCUUGGCCGAAAGGUCUGGGUAAUCUCCAAAUUUCGUCGUGAUGGGGAUAGAUUAUUGCAAUUAUUAAUCUUCAACGAGGAAUGCCUAGUAAGCGCAAGUCAUCAGCUUGCGUUGAUUACGUCCCUGCCCUUUGUACACACCGCCCGUCGCUCCUACCGAUUGAAUGGUCCGGUGAAGCGCUCGGACCGCGGCCUCUUGACGGUUCGCUGUCGAUUGGCUGUGGGAAGUUCGUUAAACCUUAUCAUUUAGAGGAAGGAGAAGUCGUAACA
rnacentral:rRNA from 1 species